AUUGCCAUUCAAGUCUGGUAUGCUAGUUGUUUGGUUGGUGUGGAGAUCUGUACGAAUUGUUCCUUGCUUCUUUUUCUUCUUUGACCCAGGUUUUCCAUUAGGUGUGGGAGGGCCCACCUCACAGAAAUCUUCUACAGAUAAGCCAUCAGUUGUAUUGUUUAUAUUCACAUCUGCUAAACCAUCAAGAGAUUUAAUCUUUGAUCUAGCUGAGUUUCCAUUUUUCUUUUUCUUCUGCAUCUUCAGCUCAGUCUUGACAUCUUGCAAAGUCUGGCUUGUCUCCUGUG
rnacentral:misc_RNA from 1 species